GCUAGUGGGGAUAGUGAACAACAACAAUAUCUGUUUUGAAUACAAAAAAAAAAAAAAAAGAUAAAUAGCAUAAUCACAGGGGAGUUGUGUCAGAUUUAAUAUUCUGGAUUUAUUUUACAAAGUUUUCAAAAAGACACCACAGUUGAAGGCUGGAUUAAAGCUUCUGAAAGGGAUAUCAUCGCAGCAGAGCUUUCGUUGGAACUGCAUGAUGUCCUAGUUACUUCACAACAAUGCAAGAAAACCAGUAAGACUGCGCUCUGCUAAAACUCAGCACAAACAACCCUGGCUGCAUAUCUGAGAUCAAGAAAUAGCCAGAGGCUGUGUGACUGAAGAACAACAAUGAAACUGGUGCUGACCUGACAAGCCAAAGCGAUGUGUGAAAGACUGCACAGAAGUCACAAAGAUGGAGGGACAAAAUGGAAAAACGAAGCCCAUGUUUAAAAUAAAGCAAAUGAUCCUCUAUUGGAAUGGUCAAAAAAUGAUUUUUAUAUAGUUAUAUAGACCAUAUAGUUAUGGAAACACAGCAGGUUAGAGUGUUGGCUGACUUUCUGAAAGCAUCUGAAUAAGGUCUUGUGGGGCAA